UAACACAUGCAAGUCGAACGGACCUAGCCCGGUAGUAAUAUUGGGCGACGGUUAGUGGCGAACGGGUGAGUAACGCGUGAGCAACCUGCCUUUCAGAGGGGGAUAACAACUGGAAACAGUUGCUAAUACCGCAUAAUGUAUUUAGAUGGCAUCAUUUGGAUACCAAAGGUUAAAUCCGCUGAGAGAUGGGCUCACGUCUGAUUAGCUAGAUGGUAGGGUAAAGGGCCUACCCAUGGCUGCGAUCAGUAGCCCGGUUCUGAGAGGAUGAAACGGGCCACCAUUGGGACUGAGACACGGCCCAGACUCCUACGGGAGGCAGCAGUGGGGAAUAUUGGGCAAUGGGCGCAAGCCUGACCCAGCAACGCCGCGUGAAGGAAUAGGGCCUUCGGGUUGUAAACUUCUUUUAUUAGGGACGAAGGAUGUGGCGGUACCUAAUGAAUAAGCCACGGCUAACUACGUGCCAGCAGCCGCGGUAAUACGUAGGUGGCAGCGUUUGUCGGAUUUACUGGGUGUAAGGGCGCGUAGGCGGGGAAUGCAAGUCAGAUGUGAAAUCCAUGGGCUCAACCCAUGAACUGCAUUUGAAACUGUGUUUCUUGAGUGAUGGAGAGGCAGGCGGAAUUCCCUAGUGUAGCGGUGAAAUGCGUAGAUAUUAGGAGGAACACCAGUGGCGAAGGCGGCCUGCUGGACAUCAACCGACGCUGAUGCGCGAAAGCGCGGGGAGCAAACAGGAUUAGAUACCCUGGUAGUCCGCGCCGUAAACGAUGAAUACUAGGUGUGGGGGGACUGACCCCUUCCGUGCCGGAGCAAACGCAAUAAGUAUUCCACCUGGGGACUACGGUCGCAAGACUAAAACUCAAAGGAAUUGACGGGGGCCCACACAAGCAGUGGAUUAUGUGGUUUAAUUCGAAGCAACGCGAAGAACCUUACCGGGGUUUGACAUCCGACUAACGAAGCAGAGAUGCAUUAGGUGCCCUUCGGGGAAAGUCGAGACAGGUGGUGCAUGGUUGUCGUCAGCUCGUGUCGUGAGAUGUUGGGUUAAGUCCCGCAACGAGCGCAACCCUUGUUGUUAGUUGCUACGUAAGAGCACUCUAACGAGACUGCCGUUGACAAAACGGAGGAAGGUGGGGACGACGUCAAAUCAUCAUGCCCCUUAUAUCCCGGGCUACACACGUAAUACAAUGGCGUUUAACAACGGGAAGCGAAGGAGCGAUCCGGAGCGAAUCCCCAAAAGGCGUUUCAGUUCGGAUUGCAGGCUGCAACUCGCCUGCAUGAAGUAGGAAUUGCUAGUAAUCGCGGAUCAGCAUGCCGCGGUGAAUACGUUCCCAGGCCUUGUACACACCGCCCGUCACACCAUGAGAGUCGGGAACACCCGAAGUCGGUAGUCUAACCUGAUAAGGAGGGCGCCGCCGAAGGUGGGCUUGAUAAUUAGGGUG
rnacentral:rRNA from 1 species